CAGGGGAUCGCUUCCGGUCAUGAAUCGGGGGAGGAAAGUCCGAACUCCGCAGGGCGCGAUGCCGCGUAAUAUUGUUUUUGAACAGUAGUACACGCGGGCGGUAUGCUUGCAAAAUCAUAUUGACGGCCAGUGCAGCAGAAAACAGACCGCCUUGCUUCGGCUUGGUAAGGGUGAAAAGGUGGGGUAAGAGCCCACCGCUCCAAGGGCAACUGAGGAGGCAUGGCAAACCCCGCGUAGUGCAAGACAGAACAGGGGACGGGUUACCCGCCCGCAGUAUCCCCGGGUAAUAGUCGCAUCCUGCUUCGGCAGGAUCCGUCCAAGGUAACGCGGGCGGAAGAGAAAUGAUUGCCACCCUGUGUCGGCCAAAGGUUCGACACGGGAGACAGAAUCCGGCUUACAG
rnacentral:RNase_P_RNA from 1 species